rnacentral:rRNA from 1 species
CAACCGAGCGCAACCCUUAUCCCCCAGUUGCCAUCAGGUAAAGCUGGGAACUCUGGGGAGACUGCCGGUGAUAACCGGAGGAAGCGGGGAUGACGUCAAGUCCUCAUGGCCCUUACAUCCCGGGCUACGACACGUGCUACAAUGGCAGGUACAGAGGGCUGCAAAGCCGCGAGGUAGAGCGAAUCCCAGAAAACCUGUCUCAGUCCGGAUUGAAGUCUGCAACUCGACUUCAUGAAGGCGGAAUCGCUAGUAACCGCGAAUCAGCAGGUCGCGGUGAAUACGUUCCCGGGCCUU